rnacentral:rRNA from 1 species
GACGAACGCUGGCGGCGUGCUUAACACAUGCAAGUCGAACGGAAACGCCCUGCUUUUGUGGGGUGCCCGAGUGGCGAACGGGUGAGUAACACGUGAGUAACCUGCCCUUGACUUUGGUAUAACUUCAGGAAACUGGGGCUAAUACCGGAUAGGAGCUCCUGCUGCAUGGUGGGGGUUGGAACGUUUCGGCGGUUGGGGAUGGACUCGCGGCUUAUCAGCUUGUUGGUGGGGUAGUGGCUUACCAAGGCUUUGACGGGUAGCCGGCCUGAGAGGGUGGCCGGCCACAUUGGGACUGAGAGACGGCCCAGACUCCUACGGGAGGCAGCGGUGGGGAGUAUUGCACAAUGGGAGGGAGCCUGAUGCAGCGGCGCCGCGUGCGGGAUGACGGCCUUCGGGUUGUGAACCGCUGUCGCCUGUGACGAAGCGUGAGUGACGGUAAUGGGUAAAGAAGCACCGGCUAACUACGUG